rnacentral:rRNA from 1 species
CACUCCUGCGGGAGGCAGCAGUGGGGAAUAUUGCACAAUGGGCGCAAGCCUGAUGCAGCCAUGCCGCGUGUAUGAAGAAGGCCUUCGGGUUGUAAAGUACUUUCAGCGGGGAGGAAGGCAAUACGGUUAAUAACCGUGUUGAUUGACGUUACCCGCAGAAGAAGCACCGGCUAACUCCGUGCCAGCAGCCGCGGUAAUACGGAGGGUGCAAGCGUUAAUCGGAAUUACUGGGCGUAAAGCGCACGCAGGCGGUCUGUCAAGUCGGAUGUGAAAUCCCCGGGCUCAACCUGGGAACUGCAUUCGAAACUGGCAGGCUUGAGUCUUGUAGAGGGGGGUAGAAUUCCAGGUGUAGCGGUGAAAUGCGUAGAGAUCUGGAGGAAUACCGGUGGCGAAGGCGGCCCCCUGGACAAAGACUGACGCUCAGGUGCGAAAGCGUGGGGAGCAAACAGGAUUAGAAACCCUGGUAGCCCAUGAU